rnacentral:piRNA from 1 species
UUCAUUUUCAAGUUUUUCAAAGAGGUCAUCC